rnacentral:rRNA from 1 species
CCUACGGGUGGCAGCAGUGGGGAAUAUUGGUCAAUGGACGAGAGUCUGAACCAGCCAAGUAGCGUGAAGGAUGACUGCCCUAUGGGUUGUAAACUUCUUUUAUAUGGGACUAAAAUGUUCCACGUGUGGGAUUUUGUAUGUACCAUAUGAAUAAGGGUCGGCUAACUCCGUGCCAGCAGCCGCGGUAAUCCGGAGGAUCCGAGCGUUAUCCGGAUUUAUUGGGUUUAAGGGGAGCGUAGAUGGGUUGUUAAGUCAGUUGUGAAAGUUUGCGGCUCAACCGUAAAAUUGCAAUUGAUACUGGCAGUCUUGAGUACAGUGGAGGUAGGUGGAAUUCGGGGUGUAGCGGUGAAAUGCUUAGAUAUCACGAAGAACGCCGAUUGCGAAGGCAGCUGACUAAACUGCAACUGACACUGAUGCUCGAAAGUGUGGGUAUCAAACAGGAUUAGAUACCCCAGUAGUC